rnacentral:misc_RNA from 1 species
UAAUCAAGUGUUUUAUGGCACUUUUCAAAAUCCAUAUCCACCUUGUGUGCAAUGUCAGCUCGCUGGCUUCCGUCACCUGUGGUCACCUUGGAUUAUAUCUAACAUCAACCUUUAUCUUUAAUCUUUGUCUGAAACAUAUUAUGAAUAACUUAAUUCAAAAUA